GUCCCUGGCCUUUAUUAUAUUUCUUGCAUAAAAAGAAGAGAAAUGGAUGUAUGUAUCUUGACUUUGUUUGAGUGCUUGCUUUGCUACAAACAAAUCUAAACUUCCAUACAAUGUUCUUAGUUCUUUCAACACUUUCCGCGUUUCCUGUCUGCCACCAUCACUAAAGCCUUCUGCCCUCUUUAACUCUCUACCAAAAUGCAGGAGGGGCACCACUCUCUUUUUUGGGGUCUCCAAAUUUAAUCCCACAAUGUGAACCAAGGACUUCCAUCCUCUGCUUGUCUUUUUGCCUAUGAUCAAAAUUUCAUACUUACAACGCUAUAGAACAAAGGACUUUGAGGUCCUUUGCUAAGGGUGGAGGGCUUUCUUUACCCUUCUUCUAACAACAAUCCCAAUAAAGAGUUAAAAGCAAAAAGAACCAUAUCGAAGCAUAACUCAAAAGUUCACUUCAGAGAGAUCAUUUAUCUCAAAUGGGUGCCCUUCAACUUCAUGUUUUCUAUUUGAUUCUACUGCCAACAAUAACUUCCCAAGUCAUUUCCAAGCAGGGAGAAUGGAAAUCAGCUACUGCAACAUAUACCAAACAAGCAGAUGCAUCAAUCAUCACAGAAGGAGCUUGUGGUUAUGGGGAUCUUCAUAAGGCCAGCUAUGGGAAAUACAGUGCAGGACUUAGUACCAUGUUGUUCAACAAAGGGAGUACAUGUGGAGCUUGCUUUGAGGUCAGAUGUGUUGACCAUAUCUUAUGGUGUCUCCAAGGGAGUCCCUCAGUCAUCCUCACUGCUACAGAUUUUUGUCCACCAAAUUACGGGCUUUCUUCAGAUUAUGGUGGGUGGUGUAAUUUCCCCAAGGAACACUUUGAGAUGUCUGAGGCUGCAUUUGUUGAAAUUGCAGAAAAAAAAGCAGAAAUUGUACCUGUUCAGUAUAAGAGGGUGAAGUGUGAAAGAAGGGGAGGGAUGAGAUUUAGCAUGAGUGGGAGUGCUCAUUUCUUUCAGGUCUUGAUUACCAAUGUGGGAUUGGAUGGUGAAGUUGUGGGAGUGAAAGUGAAGGGCUCCAAAACAGGGUGGCUGCCAAUGGCAAGGAACUGGGGACAAAACUGGCACUCCAACAUUAAUCUUGUGGGACAGCCACUUUCUUUUGAGGUAACAGCGAGUACCGGAAGGACGGUUGCGUCUUACAGUGUUGCACCAGCGAAUUGGCAGUUCGGUCAGACGUUUGAAGGGAAACAGUUCAAAUCCGAAUAGACCAAAUACGGAGUUAGAACGAGGAAAAGAAAAGUAUCAGAUUAGUAGAUUUUUGCGUACACGAACACUUGUCGAGUACUCGGAAACUCGUAAAGGUUGGAGGCUGGUCGAAGCUUUAUCACACUAUCCAUCGGCUCGUUUCGGUAUAAUUAGUAAACUACAUUUUGGUUAUAAUGACAUGUAUGGGCUAAAUUGGGCCAAUGAUGACAUGUAUGUGUUUGGUUGAAAUUAGCCAUUGGUAUGACUUGUAAUUGGUAUAUUUUGAUAUGUAUAUAUAUGUCCUUAACAUGUUUCAUA